CUUGGAAACAGCUGCACCAUUUCCUCCGGAUUAGGAAAAGGCUGCUUCAUGCCUUGUUUUGGGACUGGGCUCUGGGAAGUGCUGAGCCGAAAGAGCCGUGAGGACGUCCUGCAGCCAAAAAGGCAUCCAGCUCACUGUUAGAAGAAGGGCGCAGAGACAGAAGUUGCUCAGCCAUGGGAAGACCCGCCAUGCUCUCCCUCUCACUGGCCACGCCAUGGAUCUGUGCAGCAAUGGAGCACCUGAAUGCAGUAAUGGAGGAGAAAGAAGAAAGCAUUGCCAUCCUUCUAUUUUGCCAAGAGGAGGAAAACAGCAUGGAGCCAUACGACGCAGAAAAAUGUCUGCAUGCUGAGAGCGGUGCUGCACACAGCUCGUGUCCUGUGCGUGAAUUUCGUUUGCAAAAGAACUGCCGGGAUUGUUCUGCAAAGAGCACCCACUCCUCCAGCCCGGCCCUCCCCGGGCGCUCUCACUGCUUCGCUUCCUCCUUCUGGCUGUGAAGUCUGAAAGGAGCUCACGGAGGAGCAACGGGAUCAGUGCUCCCCUCUCACCCUCUGCUGCAGAAGAAGAAAGAGGUUUGAUUAAGUCCUCUAAAAGUAUUAAGGCUGAAUCAGACCACAAAAAGGAAAACAAACAAACAAACAAACAAACCCGUGCUCUAUGCUCACAAAAAAUGUCACCUUCCUAACGGCUGCAGUCAAAUCCUUUAGAGCCGGUAUUUACAAUCAAAUGUAUUCAAAUAUCUCCGAGCCCUAACGCAGAUGACACCAAAAGGACCAUUUGCUAUAACUUAAACAAGUGCUCUGUAGUUCUCGGUUUAGCUCCUAAGGAAAACCGAAGGAAGGACCUACUGCCAGGGAUGCACACACACACACACACACACACACACACACACACACGCAUAUUUCAUCCAACCCACCGCUACCAGCCCCGGGUCGCACUGAUUAACACUUUUCACGUAAACACACUUUUUCUUCCUUGAAAUGUUAAUGCCUGCUUAGUGCAAGGUGAAAGUCUAUCCAAAGACCGAAUCCCUUAAGAGUGUUAAUUAAACAGGACAAUAAUAAUCCACCGGUGAUUUAUGGCGAGGUGGAUGACUAGACCAUAGUGGUUGGUCUGAUAGGCAUUUAUUGCCUACUUAACCAUUUAAGUAUAACAAAAAAAAUCAUUGUGGUACAAAAGGUGAUGAAUGUUGCUGCUAAAACAGUCCAUUAAGAUGAUUCAUUAACAUUACAAAGAGGUCUGCAGCCUCUGUGCCACUUGGAGCCCGUAAAAGUCUGGGAAAGUGAGAGACAUUACCAUAGGAAAUGCUUUAUGCUAAAUGCGUGCUGAUAGAAUCUGAAGUCCACUUUCUGCAGAUAACAUCACUUUUUACAUUUUGCACUACAAGGUCCGAGGAUGCUUUGUACUUCUUAUUUCUGCAGCUAGAGAAUGUAUCUUCCUAACAGAGCAGCGCGGGAGGAGAGGAGUAAUAAAAGUCACAAUGCUCUGGCACACAUCUGAGCCUUUCAUACUUCCCUUUGAACUGAUGUCACUGGAAUGCCGAACCGCUGGUUGCACCACUGCGGAGCGACCGAGAGCCAUGAGUUAUAGUCACAGUGGUUACAACUUUAUUAAAUGCACACCAAGAAAAGCUACUACAAUGAUCUUCCCAGGUCAAAUAACAGCGGAUUCCUGCUGUGGGACAGCAAGGAGAUGUGCCACGGAUGGAUGAUACAUGAAACAGUAUAAGGGUUAAAUCAGAGUGUAAAUGUAUCUAAAAAUACCAAAUUAUGAUCUCAGUACCUUCCUAACAAGUGAUUCCCAGUAACUAAUGAAGCCUGACUCCUUAUGGAUUUAUGCCACAUCUCUCACACCUCCCCAUCAGAACAACACCCACUGUCCUCUGCCAUAGCUGUGCUGUAAUAACGCCCCGGUGUCCCUUAGCCAGCCCCAGGCUUUUUGGAUUUGCCAGCUGAAGAAAACAGUGCAUUUGCUAAGGAGUGAUAGAGUGAUCUGCAAAUCAGAAUCAUUUGCUGCUGUCAGCCAUGAUGAAGAAUUGCUAAAUUCUGCCUUCUUCUCGAUGGGAGCAUUAAUAAGAACUCCCUCCUCUUGGUAGGUGCUAACUCUUGCAAAAUUGCUAAGGACACAGCACCUUUGAAACUCCUCUGCAACCUGUGACAAAUGUGUCAGCAUAUUGGAAACUGGGUCAGACAAAUAAGGAGAUUGUGUAAGCAGUUCCCCAGGGAGCCAGACGAAGAGGCAUGAUAGGAUCUCCACUGACCAGAAGUUGCUAGAGUCUUGUUUAUGUACUUCAUCUGAGGUGGAGCAUCCCCCAGUGCUUCCUCAAUUACAGGAAGUGUGUGCAGCACCUGUUCAGACUACCUGGGCUAGCUGCAAACAAGCUAGACUGGGUUCCAGGAGCACAGGACACUUGCUAACAAAUUCUGCUUCUCAGUAUGUAAUUAGCCUACUUUACUUCUCAGUAAAUGAAUUAGCACAGCUACACUACA
rnacentral:lncRNA from 1 species